rnacentral:rRNA from 1 species
CUAACAUGUGUGCGAGUGUUGGAUUCAGCUUGCUUCGCGGAGCGAGGCGCAUUUCCGCGCAUGGCAGGUCAGCGUCAGUUUUGCGCGGCGUGAAAAGGCCCGGGUAAGGUAGCUCUCUUCGGGGAGUGUUAUAGACCUGGGCAGAUGCGCUGCGCGGGACUGAGGAUUGCAGCGGACACCCCCUUCGGGGGCGCGGCGACCGAACCCUGCUCGGCCACCCUCGUUCGAUAGCGUGCUAGCGGACGCGGGAGCGGCAGUGCACCGGAACAGGCAAGCCAGCGGUUCGCUAAGGAUGCUGACGUAAU